CUGGUCCCACCUCCCAGGACAUCGCAGUGUGGGCUUGUUUCACCUGCUCUCCUGCCAUGGUGCCUGGCAGUGCGGCUCUGCAGAGCCUCCUUCGGAAGGGAAAAUGCUGAAGUGCAAGCUUUCCUAAAGAACAGGCAAACAAAGCAAGUGUGGAGAGAGGGCAUUGAUGGAUGGAGAGAAGUGAUGCAUUUCUUCUGGCUGACACAGCAGGGACAACUGGGAUGGAAGUCAUGAAUGCUGAACGUGGGUAGGAGAGUUCAGAGUUUGAUUCCAAAGCUCUCUGUACCAGUAGCAAGGCCUCUACUGUUCAUGGAUUUUUAAAGCAACCGUAAAGGAUGGACAGAAGAAAUACAAAUCUCAAAACAACAGUGGAACUCACAAGGCUUGAAGGAAGAAACAAAGAAAAUAAAUUGCUCUGUAACAACUGUAUUUGCAAUUCACAUCCUGUAACCAGCACUUCUCUCUAUGCCUUCCCACUCUAGGAAUUAAACUUCACAAAUGUCAGAGUCUUUGCUUUCUUUAUGGUUUCUCUGACCAGCAAUUUAGAGUCCUGUUUCCCAGGACUGAGCCAUUAGGAGUAAAUUUAACCCCUUUCUUUAAAGGAAAUAUUUCAGUGUGACUGAGAGUAUCUUCUGGUUUUGGUGGUGCUUCACAGGCCAUAGUUUAGAGAGAAACCAGAGCAUGUUUUACAUCAAGAGACUUUGUGGCCCUUCCAGUAGUGAGACAGAUCUUGUAUAAAUAUCUCAGAGCCCCUGCCAGGGAUCCACAGAUCACCAGACUGAACCCUUGUGUUCACACACAAACUUCUGUUGGAUGGGUGCCAUCCUUGGUUGGACUGAAAUGUUUUACGGCUCGCCGUGUGAGUGUGUCCUGCAUUAAUAGAGUCAUAAAAGAACAAGGGAAUAGGCAAGUAAAUCCUCACUCAACUUUUUCAGGCUAAACCUGUAAGUGUCCUCAUUCUCUCCUCAGUUCUCUCAGUUCCACCCAGUAUCACCUACAGCAUUUAUUUCUGACUGCUGCUUCCACUGACUGCUCCAAAUAUGUUAAGUGGUUUGAAACUGAUGACUCCUUUAUGCCUCAAACGUUGAAUAAGCUUUCCACUAAAACAGAUGACUGUGGAGCUUUAUAGUAGGGAUAUGUUUUGAUGCUUAAGUUUGCAAGAGUUACGCUCUAGA